UUGCCUGAGCCACUCUGACUCCCUGUUGAAAAUUAUCACUCCUCUGUCUGCGUCCCCCAAUGCUGUACAUCGUCA
rnacentral:lncRNA from 1 species